AUACGUAGGGUGCGAGCGUUAAUCGGAAUUACUGGGCGUAAAGCGUGCGCAGGCGGUUUUGUAAGACAGUGGUGAAAUCCCCGGGCUCAACCUGGGAACUGCCAUUGUGACUGCAAGGCUAGAGUGCGGCAGAGGGGGAUGGAAUUCCGCGUGUAGCAGUGAAAUGCGUAGAUAUGCGGAGGAACACCGAUGGCGAAGGCAAUCCCCUGGGACCUGUACUGACGCUCAUGCACGAAAGCGUGGGGAGC
rnacentral:rRNA from 1 species